rnacentral:misc_RNA from 1 species
UAUGUAAAUCUCCCUCCAUCCCUUCAUCAAUAAAUUAAAAUACAAAAAAAGGAAACAAAAACCAAUCAACGGAUACAAAAGUGUGCAGCAAUAAUCAAGAGAGUUUUAUUCAGAAAUUCAUGAAAAGAUUCAAUAGGGCAACAGCAAAGAAAUAACAAACAAACAAAAUGCCAUGAAAACCAGAAUAAACUGAUUCCAAAAUAGAAAAGAACGAACCUUGGUAACAGGAUCCGAAGAAG